CAGUCGUACUUAUGGGUAAUCAGCCUUUUGGGUGUGAUUAUGUGGAGCGUGAGGAGCUAAUCGCCUUCAUCUUUGCAUAUUCGUGCACUUUGGGUGUACUUGCUCGUGUGGUAGGUUAACAUCAAUUUUGAUCGUCAUAAAAUGAAUUGGAGGAAUGUAGCUUCGAUCUCGUAUUGAAGUGUUAUAGCCCCCUUGCUGUAUACACUGGUUGGGAUUGAGGUUUCAGUGCACGCUUCGGUUGUGCUUUGAUGCUGGCGUAAUGGCUUUAAGCGACCCGUUUCGAAACACGGACCAAGGAGUCUAACAUAUGUGCG
rnacentral:rRNA from 1 species